rnacentral:rRNA from 1 species
AUUGAACGCUGGCGGCAUGCCUUACACAUGCAAGUCGAACGGUAACAGGUCUUCGGAUGCUGACGAGUGGCGAACGGGUGAGUAAUACAUCGGAACGUGCCUAGUAGUGAGGGAUAACUACUCGGAAGAGUGGCUAAUACCGCAUGAGAUCUACGGAUGAAAGCAGGGGAUCGCAAGACCUUGUGCUACUAGAGCGGCCGAUGGCAGAUUAGGUAGUUGGUGGGAUAAAAGCGUACCAAGCCGACGAUCUGUAGCUGGUCUGAGAGGACGAUCAGCCACACUGGGACUGAGACACGGCCCAGACUCCUACGGGAGGCAGCAGUGGGGAAUUUUGGACAAUGGGCGAAAGCCUGAGCCAGCAAUGCCGCGUGCAGGAUGAAGGCCUUCGGGUUGUAAACUGCUUUUGUACGGAACGAAAAGCCCCGGGUUAAUACCCUGGGGUCAUGACGGUACCGUAAGAAUAAGCACCGGCUAACUACGUGCCAGCCGCCGCAGUAA